rnacentral:rRNA from 1 species
ACGGCGAGUGAACAGGGAAAAGCCCAAAUUUGUAAUCUGGCACUUUUUACAAGUGUCCGAGUUGUAAUUUGUAGAGCUGUUAUCCGUACUGGACCAUGUACAAGUCUGUUGAAAAGCAGCAUCAUUGAAGGUGAAAAUCCUGUAGAUGAUAUGGACUACCAGUAUAUUUGUGAUACGGUUUCUAAGAGUCGAGUUGUUUGGGAAUGCAGCUCAAAGUGGGUGGUAAAUUCCAUCUAAGGCUAAAUAUAAGUGAGAGACCGAUAGCAAACAAGUACCGUGAGGGAAAGAUGAAAAGAACUUUGAAAAUAGAGUUAACAGUACGUGAAAUUGCUGAAAGGGAAACGUUUGAAGUUAGUUUUGUAUUCGUUGGAUCAGCUUCGCAAGGAGUGUAUUCUGAUGAUAAGCAAGUCAACAUCAGUCUAUGAGUGUUGGAUAAGGGUUUUGAGAAUGUAGCAAUUUAAUUGUGUUAUAGCUUGAGACUUGGAUACAAUGCUUUGGAUUGAGGAACGCGUAGUAAGCUUUGAGCGGAUUCGAAAGGAUCUCCUU